AACGAACGCUGGCGGCAGGCCUAACACAUGCAAGUCGAGCGAAGCCUUCGGGCUUAGCGGCGGACGGGUGAGUAACGCGUGGGAACGUGCCCUUUGCUACGGAAUCGCCCCGGGAAACUGGGAGUAAUACCGUAUGUGCCCUCCGGGGGAAAGAUUUAUCGGCAAAGGAUCGGCCCGCGUUGGAUUAGGUAGUAGGUGGGGUAAUGGCCUACCAAGCCGACGAUCCAUAGCUGGUUUGAGAGGAUGAUCAGCCACACUGGGACUGAGACACGGCCCAGACUCCUACGGGAGGCAGCAGUGGGGAAUCUUAGACAAUGGGGGAAACCCUGAUCUAGCCAUGCCGCGUGAUCGAUGAAGGCCUUAGGGUUGUAAAGAUCUCUCAGUGGGGAAGAUAAUGACUGUACCCACAGAAGAAGCCCCGGCUAACUCCGUGCCAGCCGCCGCCGAAAUAC
rnacentral:rRNA from 1 species